rnacentral:rRNA from 1 species
AGUGAACGCUGGCGGUAGGCCUAACACAUGCAAGUCGAACGGCAGCACAGUAAGAGCUUGCCCUUAAGGGUGGCGAGUGGCGGACGGGUGAGGAAUACAUCGGAAUCUACUUUUUCGUGGGGGAUAACGUAGGGAAACUUCUGCUAAUACCGCAUAUGACCUACGGGUGAAAUCAAGGGUUCUUCGGACCUUGCGCGAUUCAAUGAGACGAUGUCGGAUUAGCUAGUUGGCGGGGUAAAGGCCCACCAAGGCGACGAUGCGUAGCUGAUCUGAGAGGAUGAUCGGCCACACUGGAACUGAGACACGGUCCAGACUCCUACGGGAGGCAGCAGUGGGGAAUAUUGGACAAUGGGCGCAAGCCUGAUCCAGCCAUACCGCGUGGGUGAAGAAGGCCUUCGGGUUGUAAAGCCCUUUUAUUGGGAAAGAAAAGCAGCAGGUGAAUACACCGCUGUUCUGACGGUACCCAAAGAGUAAGCACCGGCUAACUUCGUG